GACCCCGCGUGCGCUGUGCGCUGCGCCUUUAAGUCCGGGCGAGGAGCGCGGCGGCCAGGCCCGCGCGGGACGUCGCCCCCGGUGGAGCGGGGCCGCGCGUGGGUCCCCUGUCGCCCGCCCCUCGGACCCGGGCUGGGGGACGCGGUUCGGGAGAGCGAGGCAGCGCGGGGAGGACAGCCGCCGGGGGCCGGGUGAGGACAGGUGGAGCACGGAGGCGACCGAGCAGCAGGGCGGGGUGGCCAAGCCGCACGCGGCUGUGGCGCGGAGCGGGCUCGACGCGGUGGCUGAGUGGGUCACCCGCGGUGUCCCUCCGGGACCGGCGGGGACCUGAGGAGGGGCGGCCCGGGGAGGGGGCACGCAGGGCCGCGCAGCGGGGCCUCGGUGAGCUGCGGGAGGGCGCGCGCGCGCGCGCGCGCUCGGGUUCCGCCGGCAUCUGGCGCGGGAUCGGGGCCUCCGCGCACCCGCCGCGCGCUCCCCACGCACACACGCCCUUCCUGCCGCGCCGCUGCCACCAUCGAGCAGGCGAACCCCGCGGAGCGGAACCGGGCGGAGCGGACCGGAGAGGCUCCAGAGAUGCGGGACCUGAGCGGGGGCGCGCGCAGACGGCGCGCCCGGGACGCUUCCUGCACCCCCAGGCCCUAAGGUGACUCCGGCCCAGCUGCACUCAGUCAACCCCUAGCUGGAGGGACCCUGUGACCAAGUCCUGGCUGCUCUGAGCCUGGGGCUGCAGAGCCUCCUGCCCACAUCUGCAGGGCCCUGAUGCUGUCUGGCUCCUAACUGGCUCCCAAGCCUGCUCCUCUCCCUGACCUGGUCCCAGGGGACUGCUCAGCUUCAGGACUCAGCAGGGCACAGCAGCAAUUACGGAAGCUCUGUUGACUGUCCAGCCAGGGUUGGCUCUGUGAUCCCAUCUUCCAGAUGAGAAGCCUGAGGCCAAGGUGCAUUUUUCCCGAAAAUACUCCAUUG
rnacentral:lncRNA from 1 species